AUCACUUCUCGGCCUUUUAGCUAAGAUCAAGUGUAGUAUCUGAACUGUAUUCCCACAGCCCUAUAAUAAUCAUAAUCAUAAUCAUUAUUUAUUUAUUUAUUUUGAGAUGAGAUUUUGCUAAGUCACUAAGUUGCACAGAUUGGGCUCAAACUUGUGAUCCUCCU
ensembl:snRNA U2 U2 spliceosomal RNA